rnacentral:lncRNA from 1 species
AAAACACUUCUGUAACUUAAAAAUAAGCUUUAAAAUGUAACUUUGAAGUAACUAAAAAAUAUAGCAUUUGAAAUCUAUUAAAUGCUUGCCAAGGAUUUUAAUAAUUUCUGAAAAUAGUGUCACUUUUGAAGAUGGUGUGGAGGGCAAACUGGCUUCCUUUCUUUUUGAAUAGUUAAUUCUUAAAAAUUAGUGGAAUGGCAGACUUUUAAAAUCAUUCAUAAAAGCUACUAGUGUAUAUAUUGACUUCCACUUUACAAAAACCUUUUCAUCUUAAUUAAUCUAUUAGUCUUAAUAUGAAGGGAACUUUAUAUUUACAUUUUAAAGAGUAUGAAAUAAAUAUACACCCAUGAUAUUAGAGCAUAUAGACUAAAUUAUGUAAUUAUACUACUUAAUCAUUCGUUAGAUAAGACCAUCAUAAGACCAUCUUCACUCAUUCUACGAUUUAACACUGUUAGGUGCUUAGUUCUCAUAAAAUAUACUGACAUAUGGGAAAGAUGAAUAUAAAUAUUUAAUUUACAUUUAAGUGUAAUAGCUGUUUGUUGUCAAAAUAUAUCUAAGAGAUGCUAUUUAAAUCACUAACUUCAUACUAUAUUAAAGACUGGGGUUUUUUUCCACACCAACCUAGCAAUUAAAAACAACUAACACGAAACUAAUAUAUGUAUCUUUUAAAAAGUCUGGAAGUCUCUUUUUACUCAAACAUUAUAGAAAAGGACAUAAUUUCAUCAUGAAUUUCUAUAUAGAUUAUGUUAUUUCUUAGGUUUAAUUUUCCAAUUUUUCAGCAAUUGGUUUUAGUCUGAAUUCUAGCUUCAUUCUAAUUGUAAGAAACAGGAGUGGGAAAGUAAAAUAUCAAAUAGUUAUGGUGUAAAUUAAAUCAUAUUCUCAUAUAUUUAAUGGUACCAAAGGUACACAUGCAUCCUUUGCAGGCUGUGUUGUGUUACAGUGAAAGAAAUAGCUUUACGAAGCCUAUUCAGAUAGGAGAUGAUGAGAAAAUUAUUUACUGCGGAGUUUUAAUUAGCAAGUCCUACAGCUAUUAUUUUAUUUAAAUUACUUUUAAAGUCAUGAUUUACAAACUGUAAGACUCGGCAAACACUGAACUAAAGUAUUCUUUCUAAAACUGUAAAAUUGGAAAGUUCAAUAAAAUAAAAUUACAUAAAAGCUUUUCUCUAGCUAUAUGAUCAAAGGAAGUAGUCAACCAUUGUUGGAGCAGUUUCUGUAUCAUUUAGGUAUGAAUUUGUUAAAAUUGAAGAUUUUAUCUCUUCACCGUAUGGGUCAGCGACCUAAGAGUUUUAGAACUCUCUGACUCUAAAGUCACAGUAAGGUCGAUACAGAGAACAUCUAGGAUGGACCAAAAAUUCUCAACGAAAAGCUUACAGAAGAGAUAAAUAUAUACGUAUGAAACAAUUAGAAAGUAUUUUUACAAUAAUGGUGUUACUAUGUGUAGUACAAUCAUAGAAUAAAGAGAUGGGCUGCAAAAAUACACGUGAUAAUUUCUCUGGUGUUUCCCAAAUCCUCAGGUUUCUUCGUUUUCCCUCAUAACUACAGUAAACAUGUAAAAAUAUAUAUUUCAGAAUAUGCAUAAAUAUUCUUCAGCUUCGUCAAUGCUAGUCUUGUCCUGGGACUUAUCACCCUGUAGCCAGAUAAGAAUUGCAAAAAUCAGACAUAAAAAAGGUAAAGUUCCAGGGCACAUAUUGGUAGCUCAACAAACACUGUUUGCUGUGAUGAUUUGAGUUUCUUUCUGCUAUCAGGGAAAAAGUAUUCAUUCAUUUAACAACUACUACUUGCGCUCCUCCUGUGUGCAAGAAAUGGUGUUUGUUACAUGAGAGGUGGUGGGGGGACAGAAAAUGAAUAAAUGGAUAUGGUCCCUAAACAGACAUGAGCUGGUUUCCUUGUUUUAAAGGUUUUUUCAGAGAAAACAAUUCUACAGUCUUCCAUUAGCAAUGUUUGCAGGGCCACCAUAGCUGACUUCCAACGCCUUCAAACACUUACCUUUGUUCCUUAUUUCUAUUUGCUCUCACAAAAUAUAGUACAUACUUUUUACACAUAUUAAGCUCAUGCAUGCAUGGGUUUUUUGCUUUUUAGGGAUGCCUCUGAGGUGCAGGGAGGUUCCCAGGCUAGGGGUCAAACCGGAGCCGCAGCCACUGACCUACACCCCAGCCGCAGCAACGUCAGAUCCAAGCCGCAUCUGAGACUCACAUACCUACACUACACCACAGCUCACAACAACGCCGGAUCCCUAAACCACUGAGCAAGGCCAGGGAUCAAACCUGCGUUCCCAUGGAUGCUAGUCAGAUUCAUUUCCUCAGAGCCACCAAGGGAAUUCCACUUUGUUUGUUUUUUAAAUACCUUUUACGUUAUUUAAAAGGCAGAAGAGCAAAAAACAGCAAGAGAGAAUAGUAAAAACACAUUAACAUUUGUUCUAGUUUAGGCCUGUUAAGAAGCUUAGAAUAAAAAGGAAACUGGUUCAAUUGUAAAUUUAGGCUACAUAAAUCAUAACAGGAACACAGACUGCUCCCAUAGACUUCUUAAUAUUUCAAAUUUGAUUGGCACUGAUCAUGAUUUAAUUUCAUUCUGACUUAACUGAAGAGCCGUCUUUCAAUAUAAACACUGUCACACAACCUGCCCAGGUGUGCUGGGGGUUAAUGCCAUAGCUUUGAGUUUAAGAACAAUUACUAUUAACUUUUUAAGAAGGUUUCACAAAACUCGCACCUCCAAAGUAUUGAAAUUGGUCUUAAUUCUUAGUGUUUGUGCAGCUGCAGAACUUUUCAUUUUUUUCUCAAAAUACUUCCACUUCAUCAGCAAGAGAUGAAUUCAUUAACUUCAUUAUUAUUUCAAAUGAUUUCUUCAUUUUUGUAAGCCCCAAGGUUGUCUCACUAAGAUCAGCAUUCUCUCUGUGUUCCAUAAAAUGUAAUCAAUCUCUAUUAUAGUCAUGAAAAUGGUAUUUGUCACUUUGCUGAGGAAAAAAAUCAAUAUAUCUUCCAAGGCUGAACAGACAUUUAAUGCAUCGAAUUGAAGACCAUUAGAGAAAUUUAGCUUGCCAGGAUUUUAAGACAAGCUAAUAGAAAUCCAGAAAAUUCACCGAGGGUUGGCCAAUGAAAUACAUAGAUAUGCCAUAGAAAUUAAUAUUUAGGUAUCAGAAUAACCUGUCAUCUCCAAUCCUGACAAGAAUAUGGAUUUAGACAGGUAAAUCUCUAAGGGGUCACCAAUUUUAAAAAGCAAAAGUGAAAUCACAUACCAAGAAAACAUUUCUUUUUUUUUCUUUUGUCUUUUUGCCAUUUCUUGGGCCGCUCCCUCGGCAUAUGGAGGUUCCCAGGCUAGGGGUCGAAUCGGAGCUGUAGCCGCCGGCCUACGCCAGAGCCACAGCAACGCGGGAUCCGAGCCGCGUCCGCAACCUACACCACAGCUCACGGCAACGCCGGAUCCUUAACCCACUGAGCAAGGGCAGGGAUCGAACCCGCAACCUCAUGGUUCCUAGUCUGCUUCGUUAACCACUGCGCCACGACGGGAACUCCAAGAAAACAUUUCUUGAACAUGGCUGAUAAAUAAGAAAGGCUUCAUUCUCUUUUCCUAUAAAAUUUACCACGUAGAGAUAAUUUUAAGAGUUGAAAAACUGUAAGGAACCUUAAAGGCAAGGAAUCUAUAGAGAUAUUGUCAUUGGAAUUUGUUAGGGGACUUUAAAAAAAAACUUUUUAAAAUUGAAGUAUAGUUGAUACAUAACAUUAUAUAAGUUAACAGGUGUACCUUAUAGGGAUUCACACUUUCUCUGAGCUUUUAAAUUACUGCAGUGGUAAGGAUGCAGCUCAAUUGGAGAAUCAGACACACAUCUUGUCAGUCGCCCACUCAGAACAGAUCCCUGACCCUCAGCUCCUGCUGAGCUACCUUCAGCAAAGAGGAUGCUUGACCCUUGACAACCUCUUGUCUACAGAGUAACUCUUCUAAAUAGAACAUUCUCUGACUUGAGCUGAUACCUGCUUUCUAAAAAACUGCUACUCUUUGUUUCUAGUCCCAUAUUUGGAAGAACAUAAAGGCAGGCUGUUGCCUUUCCUCUGAAUCAACCCCUUAAAUGCUUAAGGUCAGCUAUCACUUCUUCUGGCUCUUUUCUUUUUUAGAUAUAACCUAUCUAGUUCCUUCACCUAUUCUUCCCAGCACACCAUUUAUCAUGCACAUGGUUUCAGAAAAUUCAUGGCAUUGUCUUCCCAAACCAUUUCAAUUUAUCAAUAUCACUUUUCAUUUGUUCCAUCAAAAAUAAACAUAAGACAACAAGCAUGUUCAAAAAGCAUAAAAUCCAUUAGAUUUAUUAAAGUUGGAAAUAGAAUAUAAAAUAAAAUUCUCUCUUUAUAUAAAAGCAAAUUCUCUUUCCCUCUCUCUCAUAGCAGCUUCAGUGGAUUUGUUUUGGGUUGAGUUCAUGACCAAGUAGAGGUUCUACGAAGGCAGGAAAUCCUGUCUGUUUUGUUUACUGUCCCUCUCCAGCACUGAGCACACAGUAUGCACCAAUAAAUAUUUGGUGAAUGAAUGUAGGAACAAAGCAUUCAUUUAAAGCUGCUAGAUCUUUGCGUAUUUGCACUGUUGACAAGCCAGGUCCCUUCCAUUCUGUACUCAUAAAACUGAUUUUAAAAAAUCUAAAUAUAGAGCUUUGUAUUGAUGAGUAUGGUUUUGAUCCUAUUUUUUUUUUUUCCCCACUGUACAGCAAGGGGGUCAGGUUAUCCUUCCAUGUAUACAUUACAAUUACAGUUUUUCCCCCACCCUUUCUUCUGUUGCAACAUGAGUAUCUAGACAUCUAUUUUGCCUAUGAAUCAUUGGAUUCAAAGCCAUUUUGUCAUUACCACACCCCAUACUUUUCAACAACAAAGUGAAUAUCUUUCUAUGAGUUGCUUCACUCCAUUUUAAGUUCUGCUAUAAUUAGUUAUAUUUACUCUUCAAAAUAACACUCAUCAUCUCCUACUUGAGACAACAGAGACAACUUGCCCUGGUUCUCCAAUCGUAAAUUUCAGGGUCAGGAUUCAAGUUCAGUUACC